GACGAACCGAGCGAACGUUGUUCGGAAUCACUGGGCUUAAAGGGCGCGUAGGCGGCGUAACAAGUCACUUGUGAAAUCUCCGGGCUUAACCCGGAGCGGCCAAGUGAUACUGUUGUGCUAGAGUGCGGAAGGGGCUACUGGAAUUCUCGGUGUAGCGGCGAAAUGCGUAGAUAUCGAGAGGAACACCUGCGGCGAAGGCGGGUAGCUGGGCCGACACUGACGCUGAGGCGCGAAAGCCAGGGGAGCGAACGGG
rnacentral:rRNA from 1 species